GGCUGGGGGAUGAAGUUUUUAGAUUGUUAAGUUUCGUGUUUAGGAAGAACAAUUCCGUUCGAUAGGGGGGGAGGUUGACCGUACCUAACCGAAAGGCACGGCUAAAUACGUGCCACCAUCCCCGUUAUAUGUAGGUGGCCAGCGUCGUCCCGAAUUAUUGGGCGUAAAGGGCUCGCGGUCGUUUUUUUAGUUUGAUGUGAAAGCCCCGGCUCAACCGGGGAGGGUCAUUGAAACUGGGGAACUUGAGUGCAGAAGAGGAGAGUGGAAUUCCACGUGUAGCGGUGAAAUGCGUAGAGAUGUGGAGGAACACCAGUGGCGAAGGCGACUCUCUGGUCUGUAACUGACGCUGAGGAGCGAAAGCGUGGGGAGCGAACAGGAUUAGAUACCCUGGUAGUCCACGCCGUAAACGAUGAGUGCUAAGUGUUAGGGGGUUUCCGCCCCUUAGUGCUGCAGCUAACGCAUUAAGCACUCCGCCUGGGGAGUACGGUCGCAAGACUGAAACUCAAAGGAAUUGACGGGGGCCCGCACAAGCGGUGGAGCAUGUGGUUUAAUUUGAAGCAACGCGAAGAACCUUACCAGGUCUUGACAUCCUUUGACAAUCCUAGAGAUAGGACGUCCCCUUCGGGGGCAGAGUGACAGGUGGUGCAUGGUUGUCGUCAGCUCGUGUCGUGAGAUGUUGGGUUAAGUCCCGCAACGAGCGCAACCCUUGAUUUUAGUUGCCAGCAUUCAGUUGGGCACUCUAAGGUGACUGCCGGUGACAAACCGGAGGAAGGUGGGGAUGACGUCAAAUCAUCAUGCCCCUUAUGACCUGGGCUACACACGUGCUACAAUGGACAGAACAAAGGGCAGCGAAACCGCGAGGUUAAGCCAAUCCCACAAAUCUGUUCUCAGUUCGGAUCGCAGUCUGCAACUCGACUGCGUGAAGCUGGAAUCGCUAGUAAUCGCGGAUCAGCAUGCCGCGGUGAAUACGUUCCCGGGCCUUGUACACACCGCCCGUCACACCACGAGAGUUUGUAACACCCGAAGUCGGUGAGGUAACCUUUAUGGAGCCAGCCGCCGAAGGUGGGACAGAUGAUUGGGGUGAAGUCGUAACAAGGAGCCGUUGAGGCC
rnacentral:rRNA from 1 species